rnacentral:rRNA from 1 species
CUGCUGCCUCCCGUAGGAGUCUGGUCCGUGUCUCAGUACCAGUGUGGGGGACCUUCCUCUCAGAACCCCUACGCAUCGUCGGUUAGGUGGGCCGUUACCCCGCCUACUGCCUAAUGCGCCGCAUGCCCAUCCCUGUCCGGCCGAAGCCUUUCCUGCCUCCGGGAUGCCCCGGUGGCAUGUACGCGGGUUUAGCCCGCCUUUCGGCGGUGUCCCUCC